rnacentral:rRNA from 1 species
UAAGAGCUUGCUCUUAUGAAGUUAGCGGCGGACGGGUGAGUAACACGUGGGUAACCUGCCCAUAAGACUGGGAUAACUCCGGGAAACCGGGGCUAAUACCGGAUAACAUUUUGAACCGCAUGGUUCGAAAUUGAAAGGCGGCUUCGGCUGUCACUUAUGGAUGGACCCGCGUCGCAUUAGCUAGUUGGUGAGGUAACGGCUCACCAAGGCAACGAUGCGUAGCCCACCUGAGAGGGUGAUCGGCCACACUGGGACUGAGACACGGCCCAGACUCCUACGGGAGGCAGCAGUAGGGAAUCUUCCGCAAUGGACGAAAGUCUGACGGAGCAACGCCGCGUGAGUGAUGAAGGCUUUCGGGUCGUAAAACUCUGUUGUUAGGGAAGAACAAGUGCUAGUUGAAUAAGCUGGCACCUUGACGGUACCUAACCAGAAAGCCACGGCUAACUACGUGCCAGCAGCCGCGGUAAUACGUAGGUGGCAAGCGUUAUCCGGAAUUAUUGGGCGUAAAGCGCGCGCAGGUGGUCUUCUUAAGUCUGAUGUGAAAGCCCACGGCUCACCCGUGGAGGGUCAUUGGAAAC